UUCUUUCCUGGGGACUGGUAUUGGAUAUUGAACGGGCGGAGUUACCGCCGGGAUGAUGGAUGAAGGAGAUGAUGGCCUAAACUUGGCUGCGCGCAUUCUCAUUUUCGCGUGGCCUGCCACUAGUGUUUCGCAGAUUCACAAAGGGUGUCACAGGCAUAGCUGGAGGAAGAAAGGUACUACACGAAUGCGAAACGUGACAAACUCUACAACGUCAUUAGCCUGGAGUUCACCAAGACUAAGUUGGAGCCUCUAGUGGAGUCACCCAGUCUGGUACGUCAUUUGGAUUGGGUGGACUUGGUGUGGUCGGAAACAUUGCGCGCUUUGCAGCAGGAGGCCACCAACCGACUGGUCGACAUGAAAUAUCCCAAAGUGCAAAAGCUGGAUUCAUGCAGUUCACACUCCUGUGGAUUCGCUAGUGUUUGGUGGAAACUUUCUGCACAGUUUCAACAUAAGCGGUCAGCUUGCCGUGGCGGACAUUGAAGAAACUACUAAGAUACGGACGCAGCGAAGCUCGCUCCUGCGCCCGCAUGCGCCGAGAUCCCACUGCUGUCAACGGAUGACACUGCAGCCCAGUCGCCAGCGACGGCGGCAGCUGCUGCUGCUGCUGCUUCGUCAGGAGAUGGGAACAGCUCACAAGGCGGCAAGCCACCUCCAUCACCGCCAUCCUGCCUGCUCUCGGACAUGGCCUGUCUCAGCUCGUAUGAGAUUGAUGGCUUGCGACGGCUGCUGGCCGAGCUGAACGUUUCCACGACGAUGGUGAGAGUGUGUCCCGAGGAGCUGGGGGAUCCUGGGGAGCUCAUGUCGACCGUGGAGAUUCUGUUGAACUAGUAUGAAAGCCGGUUCCGCGAGGACAAGGCCACUGGACAUUUUAUGCUCAUACCGGGAAUACAAUCUGAGAAUCUGCGUGUGUCGCCCGCACCAAUACCUGGCAACAUUGUGGAAAUAGUUGCAGUUGAAACAGAGAUUGUAUGCAAGUCCUCAGCUGCUACUGCAUCUCCAAGAAAGACAGCAGGUAUAUCAUCUCAUGACGACCACAUUGAAGUCUGAAUUUGAAGUGCGAAGAUGCUUCAGCAACCACAUCGUACUUUUCCAUUGCUUUCAUUGUGCUUCUACUGUGCAUGUGUGUAACUUGUGGGGUAUACAUGUGAUGACAUUGUAUGCUGGGGACACGGUCAGAUUUUGUCCAUGCGUGUAACGUACACCUGCAUGUUAUGCAUCGAAAAGGAUCUGCCACUUGCGAUCCUGGGACAAGUAUCAGGUCAGCUUUGUCUUGUGUGGGCUGUACCAGAUUGCUGUUCACUUUUCUAUCUGUUGGAUAUGUGACUUUCUGCAAGUCUCUGGUGUAUGGUGGCCACUUCUUUGCUUGUCACUUUGUAUGAUAUUACAUUCUGUAUUCGCUGCUUUCAUGGCGUGGUCUGCAAACUGCAAUCCUUGGGCAAAUGUCAUGUUUGCUAUAAUGUGCUUUGGCCGUCAGCUUGUCUACACGUUGUAGUUGAAUUAUUUUGUUCCACAACUGACUUCCUGAAGUACGGUGGCCACUGCUUUGCAUGGCAUUUUA